GAAAAAGAGUUUUCCCAAAAGUGAAGAAAAGAGCUUACCAAAUACCUGUUUUGAAGUCGUUACGUAAAAGAGAACGUGAGGCUUAACAUGGAACUUUUUUUUGCUGUUGCUUUUAGAGUAUUAAGUAAGGUUGGUGGCUUUGUUUUUGUUUAGUUUUCCCAAUAUUAAUUCUGAGUCUCAUAAAGACCAUAGAAUUUAGCAACAUAUUACUUUUUCUUCCAAGAGGUAGCCAAUUAAAGCUACUAAAACAAAGAAAUGAUUUGACAAUAUAAUUACUACAUCUGGUAUUUCCACUAUUAUUAAAUAAUUGUAUUGUCAGCCAAACCGCCUAAAAAUGCUGGGUGUUUUCCUUGUGUAGCUUUGUUUGUAAGCAUGGAGAGGUCACUUACCAAGAGAAUAUAAGAGAAAAAAUACUGAGUGUGAGUGUCUAGUUUAUAAGUGUACAUAUGUCCUCUGACAAAAAGUAAAGUUAUUCUUAAAAUGUUAAAUGGAAAUAACGUGUGAGGUGUGGUGAGAAGUACUGUAUUUAAUAUGAAGAAGUAAGUCGGGGUCAAGGAGAUGUCCUGUUGGGUAAAGACAGUACUGUCAUGCCAGGCAUAAGGACCUAAGCGCCGAUCCCCAGAACCAGGGUGAGAAAGCCUGGAAGGGCUGCACCAUCCUAACUCUCGUGCCCGCCUCGCUGAGUCAGCCUGGGGUUCAAGAGAGACAGUACCCAACUCAGAGCACAAAGGCAAAGGGCAGUAUGUGAUUCCUCCACACGUGCACAAUUACCUUAUCAAGCAUACAUACCACAUACAAGAAGAAAUAAAAUGGGCUAAUAACUAAAAUAAUAUUGGUUCAUGAUUGUUCAGAAGGUAUGAUGAUACUACUGGUUUUAUUAUUUUAGCCUUUGUAAUUUUAUUUAAGUUAGAACAUUCAGAAACAAAUGUAAUCCCCAAGGAAAGUGGACAAAAAACUGCAAAAUACACUCACCCAGAACAAUUUUAUAAUUGAGAAUCUUUUGUGUACCUACCUUUAGUAGGGUGCACACAGAAGAGGAAGAAAGCCUGAAUGAUGAGGAAAUUGGAGGAGAUGUUUUCACGUAGAAACUUAGGAAUUUUCACUCUAAAUUGUUGAAACUUCCAGUGAAAGGUGGUUUUACCUCCGUAAACCCAUGUAAAAGCUGACAGGCAGAGUACGGUCCCGACUAGUGAAGUAGCAGUAGACCCAGAGUGAUGCAUAAGAACAAGAACGCUAUCAAAAGAAGAGAAACACAGUGUGAAUUUACAAAGGCACAGUGAAGGACUGUUUCUAAGCAAGUAUGUCAUUAGAUCCGGAUCAUUUAAGUAUAGGGCUGGGGCCAUUUUUAUGUCAAGGUGUAAACUCUGUACUGAUUUGGAUUAUACUUGUCAACAAAUAAUAAAUACUAGGUAAAUGGGAAUUUAAGGGUUGAAAAUGUUUGGGGUUCAUUUUGUUUCUACUUCAGUAUGAAAUUGAGAAUGCAACUUGUCACAUUUUUAGGACAUUUAUAUGAAUUGUUUAGGUGGAUUUGUCUGUACUAACUGAAUUUUGUAUGAAAACAAAUUUGUGUAUAGGAAGUGAACUAUGUUUGUUCUGUAGCAGUGAGAAGUAUCACUGUGGUAAAGGGUUUCUUAUACCUACCUCUCACUGUAAAUGGUGGAAAUGAGUGAUACCAUGUAUGUAAUAUGUUAACAUUAUACAGGUAUGUACCUUAGUUCAAAUAAUAAACGACUGUUGAAAUCGAUUAUUUUUCUAUAACUGCUCCACACCAACAAAACACUUUUCUAAACAUCAAAAAAAUUGACUUACAGGAACCAUUUGGAACGGUCACCCAUAAGCCAUGCAGCC
rnacentral:lncRNA from 1 species